GUAUUGUAUUAUUUUGUUCAUGUCUAGACUCUAUGCCGUAUUGGUCUAUGGUACUUGCGCUAUUCAACUUACCCCCUGCGUCUUGACUCCCAGCAUCUAGGUUACAGAAUACUGCUUCACAAAAUGGAAGCAGCAGAUGGUCGACAAGCAGGGAUACCUACUUUGUAAUCACCAUGACCAGCGGGCACAACUGGGGACGGCUAUGGAAGAGGCUCUUCGCAGUGUUCAACGUCUUGAACGUACCAGAGAGGAGUUGCCUUCAACUAGUGGAGGAUACUCUACCACCAGCCCAUUCAGCUAACUGCGCAGGUCAGCGAUGUCCCUCCUGGAUAAAUAUGACAGCACCCCAUGUAAAUGCUGUGGCUUCUGACUACUGUAUUCUACUUUUCGCACCAGAUGGGAACUCCUACUGCCGAGAGGUCCAAGGUUGCCACGGUUAUUUCUCUGCUGACUGGGUGGGCAUUGGAAUGGGCCACAGAUAACUGGGAGAGGAGCUGGAUUCGUAUGCAGGGUUCAUGGCUCGGUUCAGAGGUAUCUUCGAUCAUCCACUGGAGGGCAGAGAGGGGUGAGUGCCUACUCCAACUACGGAGGACCAGAUGGCUGGUGAGUGGGCACUCAUCAUCUGGACAGUAGCAACAUCCAGUGGCCUGACUGUGCGAAGAGGUUCAGACGGGACUGGCCUAUCGAGGACAACCUCUGCUUGAUAUCACUCAUUGUGAUAGCCAUCCAGUUGGAUAAUCUUUUUUUGGGAGCAUCGGCACUCAUCACUUCUCUCCCUUCCUCAGUUAACACUUUGGAUCAGAGCCUGAACCCAUGGGGGUAGGGGUCACUUGCCUCCCCGCAGGUGGCGAUAGUUGGGGCUCUGUCUCUAUUGUGGGCACCUGCUCCAGCAGUGUCCGAUACGGCCCAACUCGGGAUCCACAAGUGUAGAGGGAUGGUCACUUGAUCUUUUACUUCCUGGGGCAGAUCAAUAGUGGAUUCCUGUGCUGCGGGGAACUUUAUUGACCAGACCCUUGCCUCAACUUCAACUAAUACCCGCUCUCCUCGCCUUUCCUGGUUCAAGGCCUCGAUAAUCAGUAUUUAGGUUCCGGGACCAUCAGACACAUCAAACUACUCACUGCGCCCCCAUGCAGAUGCAUCUACCCUCUGUCGGGGGCUGAAACCCAGGCCAUCGAAGAGUACAUUCAUGAGGCGCUCCAACAAGGUUUCAUCCGCACGUCCACUUCUCCCGUGUCCGCAGGUUAAUUCUUCGUGGCCAAGGAUGGAGGUUUACGCCUAUGUAUAUAUUAGAGGACUCGAUGACAUCACCAAGUACCGUUACCCUCUCCCAUUGUUGCCGGCAGCCAUUAAAGAGCUCUGCGGGGCUCAGUUUAACUUUUUUAUUUGAAUCAAAUUGGACCUGCGGAGUGCAUACAAUCUCAUCUGCAUCAGGGAGGAUGACUGGAAGACAGCUUUUAGCACAAUAUCUGGUCACUGGAGGAUCACUUUGCGUGGAUGAAAAAUUAAGACUACAGUGGAGACCCUGAAUCAUUCCUCCUUCUGGAAACCACAGGAGAGUUGGGAAUGAGAGGAUGGGAAGUGUCGUAAUGCUGCCCAAGAGCUUCUAGAAGUGCUAUGGAGACAACCGUCUGUCAGUGGAGAUCCAAGAUGAACCAGUUGUCAUUUUAUUAAAUCUGCUGUCUGAAUUGAUGAUGAUGAAGCUGGAUGGCACAAAGCCCUACCCUGAACAUGUUGGGGUUACUGCGCUUCAUACACAACCUCCAUGAGCACUAUGCUGAGGAUUUAGAAUUGGUUGACCUAAUGAAGAUGCUCCCUGAUUUCUUUGGAUGUGUCUACAUGUUGGCCAAGAAAAAGGGCUGGAAUUCAAGGCCUGGUCUGAAAAACGUAUUUCAGAAAGAUAUAAGCUCAUGGUUCUGAAAUGUAAAUUGUCAUGUGACGUGAUGAAAUUUGACCUAUUGUAGUACUUUUGACUUGUAGGUAGAGCCACUGAUCUUAACUGUUUUAAGAACAUUUUAUAUUCUAUAGCUUCACAGAUCUAAACCAUAUGAUUUUUACGAAUCUUACAUGGUUAUAGCAUACAUAUUAUGGGAGUUCAUAUGAAAAUGCAGUACACACAAAGCUUUGAUAAAAUUAGUGCUUACUUUUUUACUUCAGUUAAGGUAUGCAGGAUUUGUAUUAAUAUUAAUUAUCUGUAUGAGAUUUCAGGGAUGUCUGGAUUAAAGUAUUGACAUCCUAUUUUUAAAAAAUCUGUUUUCCUUUAUAUGAAGUCUGCCCAAGAGUGCAUUGAAACAUGAUUGUAUUUCUUAAAUCCGUGAUCUAUCAAUGGAGGAGCUGUGAU